CAAGAGUUGAAAGACUCCCUAAACCCAUUGUGAACCUACCUAUAUUUGUUGCUUCGGCGGGCUGCCCCAGGGCGGGGUUCUAGGCCUUAUAGGUGCUCGCCGACGGCCCUUACAAACUCUUCUGUCAUUUGGGUGCUCUGAGUAAAGAUCGAAUGAGUCA
rnacentral:misc_RNA from 1 species